GGCGAAAGCCGGAUUAAUACCGCAUACGCUCUACGGAGGAAAGGGGGGGAUCUUAGGACCUCUCGCUACAGGGGCGGCCGAUGGCAGAUUAGCUAGUUGGUGGGGUAAAGGCCUACCAAGGCGACGAUCUGUAGCUGGUCUGAGAGGACGACCAGCCACACUGGGACUGAGACACGGCCCAGACUCCUACGGGAGGCAGCAGUGGGGAAUUUUGGACAAUGGGCGAAAGCCUGAUCCAGCAAUGCCGCGUGUGUGAAGAAGGCCUUCGGGUUGUAAAGCACUUUUGUCCGGAAAGAAAUCCUUUGGGUUAAUACCCCGGGGGGAUGACGGUACCGGAAGAAUAAGCACCGGCUAACUACGUGCCAGCAGCCGCGGUAAUGCGUAGGGUGCAAGCGUUAAUCGGAAUUACUGGGCGUAAAGCGUGCGCAGGCGGUCCGCUAAGACAGAUGUGAAAUCCCCGGGCUUAACCUGGGAACUGCAUUUGUGACUGGCGGGCUAGAGUAUGGCAGAGGGGGGUAGAAUUCCACGUGUAGCAGUGAAAUGCGUAGAGAUGUGGAGGAAUACCGAUGGCGAAGGCAGCCCCCUGGGCCAAUACUGACGCUCAUGCACGA
rnacentral:rRNA from 1 species